rnacentral:rRNA from 1 species
GACGAACGCUGGCGGCGUGCUUAACACAUGCAAGUCGAACGGAAAGGCCCUGCUUGCCGGGUACUCGAGUGGCGAACGGGUGAGUAACACGUGGGUGAUCUGCCCUGCACUUCGGGAUAAGCUUGGGAAACUGGGUCUAAUACCGGAUAGGAGCCAUCUUUAGUGUGGUGGUUGGAAAGUUUUUUCGGUGUAGGAUGAGCUCGCGGCCUAUCAGCUUGUUGGUGGGGUAAUGGCCUACCAAGGCGGCGACGGGUAGCCGGCCUGAGAGGGUGUACGGCCACAUUGGGACUGAGAUACGGCCCAGACUCCUACGGGAGGCAGCAGUGGGGAAUAUUGCACAAUGGGCGCAAGCCUGAUGCAGCGACGCCGCGUGGGGGAUGAAGGCCUUCGGGUUGUAAACUCCUUUCGCUAGGGACGAAGCUUUUUUGUGACGGUACCUAGAUAAGAAGCACCGGCUAAUUACGUG